rnacentral:lncRNA from 12 species
UAAAUUGUCCAAUAUUACAUGUUUUUCCAUCUUAUAUUCAUUUUCUUUUGGCCUGGAAAAAACCUAGCUAAGUAGGCUGCAUUAGCAUCCCUUGAAAGAGUAGGAAAUAGAGGCAGAGAGGUCACUGUGAAGUGAUUUGUCCAAAGUUGCAUAUCUAGCAAGUGUCAGAGUUUGGAUUUGUCUCCAAGUUUGGUGAUUCAAAGCUUGUGUUUGUUUGAUUUUAGCUCACUUCCCCACAUUGCCUCAGCUCAACCUCCUUUGUAGCCUUUGGGAAUCGAAGGAUUUAGGGAAGGAUCUAGAGUCAGAGCUUUAUUCCCUUAACCCCCAUACAUAACCAUUCUCUCAUCUUCCUCUCUCAGGCGGAGACUGCAGCUAAACUUGUGUGCAGCUGGCUGUUAAGUUUAGUGAAUCCUUCUUUUUUGACAGCAAUGUAACCUGCCAAAUUAUCCUCUACAGGAAGAGAUUGACAUCUUCAAAGUGCUGGAUCUGACUCUGUCAUUUGAGCCCAAUCCUUCCAUCUUCAUUGCAUUAGCACUUGAGAACAGCUUUCUUAGGGGCUUUGCACUGAAUGUAUCUAUAUGCUUGAACCCUUCAUCAAUAACCACUUAUUUGGAAAAUUAAAAUUUUUAUCUUUCCCUAGAAGAUUCUGGUUCUUAGCUUAUUACUGGUGAUGAAAGUUCAAAAAAACAACAAUGAAUAUUUGUUGAGGAUCUGCUAAGUUUUUAGCCACUGUGCUAACCAUUUUAAUAUUUAUUUUAUUUAAUUCUCAUAAUAACCUAAUUAGCUAACUAUUGUUGUUAUUUUACACAUUAGGUUAAGAAACAGGAGAAUUUGCCUGUGAUCGUACAGCUAACAAAGUGGCAAACUUGGUAUUUGAACCUGGAUUUUCUUUCCUUUUUUUCUUUUUUAAAGAUUUUAUUUAUUCAUGAGAGACACAGAGAGAGAGAGGCAGAGGGAAAAGCAGGCUCCGUGCAGGGAACCCGACGUGGGACUCGAUCCCAGGUCUCCAGGAUCAGGCCCUGGGCUGAAGGCGGCACUAAACUGUUGAGCCACCUGGGCUGCCCAGAACCUGGAUUUUCUGAUGGACUACUAAGGGUACAGCCGGUGCACUCUUUGGGCCUCUAGAAACACAGGACACACUGGCUGCAGAUAACAGGGUUUAUGAUACAGAAUGAGAUCACUGCUUUCAUGUCCACAAAAAGAUAGAAUGAAUGCCUAUAAUGCCUGGCCCUUGACAGCAUUCGCAGGAACAGUAUCUCAUUACUAGGGAAAUGAUAUAAAAAAAAAUUAUAAAUUGCGGAAGCCAUGGCUUAACUUGGUGAUUUGGAGUAAGUCAUUGCUCACCCAUGUAAACAGUGCUGCCUCAGUCUGUGCUUUCGACUUACUGGAUGAAAAGUAUUUGGAUUCUUUGUUGGCUAAAGAGGAACCUUUUGCUUGGCUGAUCAUUUGGGUUUUGAAUGGAGUGGGCAGGAUCUUCAGAUUUUAGAACUUGCAUCAGAGUGUCUGCUCAAUUCUAAGAAAAGCACUUCAUUUGUCUGGUUAAACGAGCUGUGCCAGCUGCAUAUGUCUUAUCACUGAACUGAGACAGGCCAAAAUUGGCAAGAUUUUGGAAGUCAUUGAAGAAAAAAAAAACUAAACUAUAUAUUUUCAAAUUAUAAAGGUGGGUAAAGCAAAGACCUGAUUGAGUUAGAGGAGUGUAUAAAUUUAGGAUUCUAUGGGAAGUAGCGAAGAAAUGAAUUCUCCAGACUAAGUCCUUCCAAAUAUGCUCUCUUACAAAGCCAAUAAUGACAGAUCAGCUUGAAAAAAUUAUAAAGAGACCAUAUUCUGAAAAGAGAGGUUCUACUUGAAACCACCAGGGUGACCCGCCUUUGAGCACUGGUAGAUGAAUGACUUGCACCUAGAAAGGAAUCAGAGUCCCAUGAAAGGGCUGAAAAGAACCAAGAGGCUAUCUGAACAUUUUUUCCUUUUUUUCCCCCCAUAGUUAAUUUCAGAGUACACUCCAAGUUCAUGGUCACAGACAGGAUUGAACUUCCAUUUGCCACUCAUUAAAAUAUUCUUCUUAAAAUUUUCUUCUUUAAGAAGUCUUCUUGAAGAAUGACUCUCUUAACAAAAUUUGAUACUUAGA